rnacentral:sRNA from 1 species
GAUCUGGCAGCUUGUGCCUGACUAGUCCCGUCAACAUUGUGAACAGUGGAGAUGAUUUGCCUCAGUUGCACCGCGCACUGAAAAAGCAGUACUGAUGGCCGUGCAGACAUUCCUAAAGAGAAUCUUAGUUUUCUUCCUCCACUUUAAUAGUGGUCACCCAGUGGGUUGAGCAAACAAACAUUUAUUGAGCACCUGGUGUGUACAAGCAUUUGGCUCUGCUUUGGUGCUGAGGAGAGUAAAGCUGCCAGGGAAAACUGAGGGGACACACGGACAGCUCCAGUAGGGUAGCUUUGCAAUGGGACUCACACCUCUUCAUUCUUCCAGAAGCCAGAAGAUACUCACUGGGGACAGUUGUGAUGGGAGUUUUUCCAUGAGCAGCAAGAGCUAACAGGCCGCUUGCCUACAAGAGAAGAUGCUGAAGAAUACCAGCCUCCAAUAUGGAAAUCAUACUUAUAUCAGUUACAGCAAGAGGCACCUCGUCCCAAGAGAAU